GAUGAACGCUGGCGGCGUGCCUAAUACAUGCAAGUCGAACGAGGUGCUUGAGUAGCAAUACAAGAGUAUCCUAGUGGCGAACGGGUGAGUAACGCGUGGAUGACCUGCCCCAAAGUGUGGGAUAACAGUCCGAAAGGAUUGCUAAUACCUCAUGUGGUUAUCGGAUUUAGAAACUGAUAACUAAAGCAGCAAUGCGCUUUGGGAGGGAUCUGCGUCCCAUCAGCUAGUUGGUGAGGUAACGGCUCACCAAGGCGACGACGGGUAGGGGACCUGAGAGGGUGGCCCCCCACAAUGGAACUGAAACACGGUCCAUACACCUACGGGUGGCAGCAGUAGGGAAUAUUGCUCAAUGGGCGAAAGCCUGAAGCAGCAACGCCGCGUGUGCGAUGAAGGCCUUCGGGUCGUAAGCACUUUUCUACGAGAUGAGAAAGGACAGUAUCGUAGGAUAAGUCUCGGCUAACUACGUGCCAGCAGCCGCGGUAAAGU
rnacentral:rRNA from 1 species